rnacentral:lncRNA from 1 species
GAGGCCUCCCCGUUCGCCUCCCAGAGGCCGCCACUUUCUUCAGGGCUAUCAGAUGAAGGCAGCAACGAAAACACCACCACAAGACCAACUUCAGGCUGGAGCUGAUGAUGCCACACAGAAAAUAGACUCUACUUAGAAAUGAAACUCAACUAAAGGUAAAAGUUGUCAGGAACAUCUCCAAGAAAGCCAGAGUCAGCCUCUAAACUUUGCAUCAAGAACGCAAUGGCUUCCCUGAGGGCCCAGGGACGCGUGGCAGCUGUGAGGCAGCCCCUUCUCUGCUGUCGAGGAACUGGACACUUCUCCUGUCCCUUCCCACAAGGGGCUUCCUGGAGCUCCUGCAACCCCAGGCAUUAGUUCCGGUGCAGUUCUAGGAUCAGAUCAAUUCACUCGACAACAAGAGAAACAAAUGGAGAUUCCUACACAAAGACUUUCAAGCACAAAGAAAUCCUGCUGCCUGUAAAGCGGAGCUGCCUCAGCCCUUGAUGAACGACAGAAAAUCUCACAUUCCAGGAAUUCAGAUGAAGUGAAGUGCUCUCAUGGGGACCAGGCAUGGUUAUGCCAGUCCACUGCCCUGCAAGCCUCAAGGGAAGCCAACUGCCCUUCAGCAAGUCACACCUGCCUUGGUGGAGGCCUUGAUUGGAAGUGCCACACGCUACAUGUCCAGUCCUGAGCGGGAGAAUCGGUGUAGGGACGUUCUGGGGAUGCCAGCUGUGGCCAGAUCAGGUCCAACUACAGAAGAAUAAUGAAGACUCCACCUGAGGGCUGGAAAAACAAAACCUCAAGUGUGAGGCAGCCAACCUGUUACCUCGAGGGACUG